AAAAUUGGUCAAUGGAGGCAACUCUGAACCAGCCAUGCCGCGUGCAGGAUGACGGUCNNNUGGUUNGUAAACUGCUUUUGUACNGGANGAAAAAGAGUUACGCGUAGCUUAUUGACGGUACUGUAAGAAUAACAAUCGGCUAACUACGUCAUAGCAGACGCGGUAAUACGGAGGAUCCAAGCGUUAUCCGGAAUCAUUGGGUUUAAAGGGUCCGUAGGCAGCCUUAUAAGUCAGCGGUGAAAGUUUUUGGCUUAACAAAAAAAUUGCCGUUGAAACUGUAGGGCUUGAAUUUUUAUGAAGUAACUAGAAUAAGUAGAGUAGCGGUGAAAUGCUUAGAUAUUAAAUGGAAUACCAAUUGCGAAGGCAGGUUACUAACAAACGAUUGACGCUGAUGGACGAAAGCGUGGGUAGCGAACA
rnacentral:rRNA from 1 species